ACUCCCCCCUCCCGCCCCCUGAAAGGUCCCUUUUUGGAAUAUCUGCACUGUGCCAGGACCAGCACUGCCAGGAAGAGUGCAGGACAAUUUGUUUUCUUGUUUUCUGUUUGGGAGACUCGUCUGCACUGGUCGGUUCUCUCUCAGGUCACAGGGGACCAAACCAUUGGGCUUGUCAGCGAGUCCUUCCAUACCUGGUGUGUACAGCUCAGGGUCUUCCUUCGUUCCCUCAACCACAUGUUGGUGGCAUGUGCUGGGCCGUAGGGGCCAGCACGUUUACUAAGGGGGCCCAUGGUGGGGAGGGGUGGUGUAUCCUGGGCUGUGGGAUCAGACAGAAUGGGGUUUAAAUGUCUUGUCUUUCAUUUCCUAAAAAUCUGAUCUCGUACUUGGCCCUCAGCUUUUCUGAGCCUCAGUCUCCUCGUCUGUAAGAUGGGGAGAAAGAUGGCUUCUGCAGGUGCGGUUGUGCUGACUAGGUUAGUCAGUCAUUGGUCGUUAGCCCCCUCCCUGCCUGGGAGAUGAGACAGCAUGGGAGGGCCCCUCGGAGAUCAUCGUAAGGGAGCAGGAGGGAAAAGGUGCAGGCAGUGAGGCCUCCAGGGACUGUAGGAAUGUUCUAGAAGGAGGUAGGUGAAAGCCUCACAGGUGUGGUCAAGAGCAUGACUAAACAAGGCAGGAAACCAGGGGCAGGUUGGAGACGGGCGACUAGUUGAGGCCAGAUGGUCUAGAUGAAGCUGAGGAGAGGGUAGCUGAAUCCAGGGGACUAGUAGAGGCCAGGGGCUAGUAGGACUGCUUUAGCUACACAGACCAGAGCUGCUCAGAUUGCCUGAGCCAGUGGGAGCGGACGUGGCAAGUCUUGGAAAGGCACCCAGCCGCAGCUCAAGGGCAGUGCCCGCCAGCGCUCCUUGCCGUUCGGGACGUGUUGCCAGUUCCAGUCACCACACAACAGCCCAUGACCAAUGGCAGUUCUGGAUGCGCCUGUCCCACGUGAGACCCAGCUCCGGCACCUCUGUUUCUCCCUCCAUCGGCUUCUUCUUCCUACUUCCCUAAGCAAGAAGGUCAAGAAUAGGCUGAGGCACCUGGUGCGAAAGGUACAGGUGCCCACCUGAACUUGCGCCACCUUGAAUGAAGCGCUGGCCUCAGCCUAGCCGGGAGGAGGAGGAGGAGCUGGAUGACUCCUCAGCUGCUACAAAGGCCACUUAUGUAGAAGCUCCUAUAAGUUUUUGCCGUUCACAACACCCUCUUCUGGGUGACUCCUUCAUGCUUGGGUUCUUGGGCCAGGUCCUGGCUCCAAAUCUGAAAAGCUGCAUGGCCUUAGCCUGGUCACUCCCUCAGGACGCGCCCAUGAUGCCUGGGAUGCCCUGUGUCUGCCAGAAAUGACGUAGGCACUAGGCACCAACCAGCCCAAGCUGCCAAGCCCAGCCCCGGCUCCAGCACCUGGUGCCAGCAAGGCUCCAUAAGCACCAGUCUUCUCGCUCCUUCCCCUGGUCCUCCUAUGCUUUCCCAAUCCUGCUUGGCCAUGGAUGGACUAGAACAAAGCAACAGCAGACCUGGCUCAAGCAAGUUCCAAUUUUCAGGUUAACUCCUGGAAGAAGGAACCCAUCCAGAACUAAAAAUAAAGAAAAAGGCUUCUCACCACUGGGCAAAGUUUCUCAGCCUCGGCAUUAUUGACAUUCGGGGCUAGACCAUUCUUUGCGGCAGGGCUGUCCCGAGCAUCAUAGGAUGUUGAGCAGCAUCCCUGGCCUCUGCCCACUAGAUGCCAGUACACCCCCCAGACAUUGCCAAAUGCCCCAAUGGGGGAGGGGGAGGGGAAAAUGACCCCCGGAAAUGAAUAACUGCCAUACUACACCUCCCCUGAGAAAGAGCUAUUCAUUCUCGAAGGAGAUAAGGAUCCUAAUUUCAACGCCUAACAACAGCAGCCAAAAGCAGGAAACAGGGAGGAAGAAGGUGCUCCCCACACAUCUGUAGAAACAUCGCCAGGCCUGUUAGGCUCCUUCCAUUUCAAGGGACAAAGAUGUGGGGCAUCACCUCAGGGAAUAGGGUCUGUCACCAGGGUGCACGGGAGUGAGGAUGUUGCACAGUCCUGCCUCAGGGGAACGGCAAUAACGCCCCCUCAGCAGUCAGGGUACAGAAGGCCCUCAUACGCUCAGAGUCAGCCCGGGGCCCCCGUCUCAAGAUCCCAUCAGAAGCCAGCGUUUCUUCCUCCCUCCGUGAUAGACCCACCAUCUUCACCACUCUGCUGCCUCUUGUCCCUACUUGGUCCACAGUCCUGGCCCUUUUGUGAGAUGUCCUACAUUUAAAACUCCCAGGAGGUCAAUUUGGGCUUGGGUAGUUUCCACCUGUCUUAUUAGUUUGGGCUCCCCAGAAACAGACUCUGAGACAAAGACUCAAGUGCAAAGAAAGUGUUUGGAAGUAACUCCAGGAAACACUAGUAAGGGAGCAGGGAAUUGAGACCAGGAGAGGAAGGAAGCCAAGAAAGGAUGCGCCAGGAGCAGGGUGCUGUGGUGACCAACUGGGGCUUAAUCGGUGGAUGCCAGUGUGGAGCACAUGCCUGCGUUGUUCCAUCCAGAGAGGACAGAGCGGGUGCUUACCCACCAGCUCGCACGAGCCCCAGUGAAGGGCUACCUCUGGGAGGCAUUCAUUCCUCAGCUCUUCCGACUUAUGCAGCACAGACAACUCCAGCGGCCAGAGAGAGCUCUCAGGCCCGAAGAGCCACACGUGGGAGGUGGGACUGACAGGAAUGGCAUGG
ensembl:lncRNA